rnacentral:rRNA from 1 species
GAUGAACGCUGGCGGCGUGCCUAACACAUGCAAGUCGAGCGAUUUACUUCGGUAGAGAGCGGCGGACGGGUGAGUAACGCGUGGGUAACCUGCCCUGUACACACGGAUAACAUACUGAAAGGUAUGCUAAUACGGGAUAACAUAAGAGAGUCGCAUGGCUUUCUUAUCAAAGCUUUUGCGGUACAGGAUGGACCCGCGUCUGAUUGGCUAGUUGGUAAGGUAACGGCUUACCAAGGCGACGAUCAGUAGCCGACCUGAGAGGGUGAUCGGCCACAUUGGAACUGAGACACGGUCCAAACUCCUACGGGAGGCAGCAGUGGGGAAUAUUGCACAAUGGGCGAAAGCCUGAUGCAGCAACGCCGCGUGUGCGAUGAAGGCCUUCGGGUCGUAAAGCUCUGUCCUCAAGGAAGAUAAUGACGGUACUUGAGGAGGAAGCCCCGGCUAACUACGUGCCAGCCGCCGCCGUAA